GUUUGGAAAGACUUCCAGCUUCAUCACGGAGUUUCUCUCGGUUUGUGGGCUCAUCUAAAGGUGAGUAACAGGAGGAGAAGAGUCUGUUGGUGCAACAGAGGAACAAUUUCAGCCAUUUGGACUCAGCUCAGCCACUACAUUGGAAACAAUGUCUUCAACACAAAAGGACCAACAUGGAGCGAGAAGUCAGCGCUUUCAGGAGGCCGACAAACCUCACAGAAGAAAGAGAGAGAAAACCUACAGCUGUGAUGAGUGUGGGAAGGAUUUUACCCUGGCUCAAAGCCUAAAAAGACACCAACUCAUCCACAGUGGAGUUAAACCGUACAGCUGUAAUGAGUGUGGGAAGGGUUUUACCCGGACUGGAAGUUUAAAAACACACCAACUCAUCCACAGUGGAGUUAAACCGUACAGCUGUGAUGAGUGUGGGAAGGGUUUUACCUGGACUGGAAGUUUAAAAACACACCAACUCAUCCACAGUGGAGUUAAACCUU